UCGAUAGCAUGCGAGUCAGGUGUCUUCGGACGCCGGNAUACGGCUCAGUAAACGUAGGUAACCUACCCUCAGGACUGAGAUAACCCCGGGACCUGGGGCUAAUAUUAGAUAGAUAAAAGAUACUGGAAUGUUCUUUUAUCCAAAGCUUUUGCGCCUGAGGAUGGGCCUGCGUCCGAUUAGGUUGUUGGGGGGGUAAUGGCCCACCAAGCCUGCGAUCGGUACGGGCGGGGGGAGCUGAAGCCCGGAGUUGGGGACUGAGACAAGGCCCCAGGCCUUACGGGGCGCAGCAGGCGCGAAACCUCUGCAUUGCGGGAAACCGUGACAGGGGGAUCCAAGGUGCUCAUGCUUGGCAGGGGGCUGUUCUUUGUCCUAAGUAACCGAGA
rnacentral:rRNA from 1 species